rnacentral:rRNA from 1 species
CCUACGGGAGGCAGCAGUAGGGAAUAUUGGACAAUGGACGCAAGUCUGAUCCAACCAUCCCGCGUGAAGGAUUAAGGCCCUAUGGGUUGUAAACUUCUUUUCUUUGGGAAUAAAAAGCGGUAUUCAUAUCGCCUUGAGGGUACCAGAGGAAUAAGCACCGGCUAACUCCGUGCCAGCAGCCGCGGUAAUACGGAGGGUGCAAGCGUUAUCCGGAUUCACUGGGUUUAAAGGGUGCGUAGGUGGCUUUGUAAGUCAGCGGUGAAAGCCUGGAGCUCAACUCCAGAAUUGCCAUUGAUACUGCAGAGCUUGAAUCAAGUUGAGGUGGAUGGAAUAUUACAUGUAGCGGUGAAAUGCUUAGAUAUGUAAUAGAACACCGAUUGCGAAGGCAGUUCACUAAGCUUGUAUUGACACUGAGGCACGAAAGCGUGGGGAUCAAACAGGAUUAGAUACCCUGGUAGUCCACGCCCUAAACGAUGCAAACUCGACAUUAGCGAUAUACAGUUAGUGUCCAAGCGAAAGCGUUAAGUUUGCCACCNGGAGUACGACCGCGAGUAGAACGACGAAAGAAGUUAGACGGCGUGAGACGUGCCGACGGACGACGACGAGGGAGGUUAGG